rnacentral:siRNA from 1 species
GCCACAUGACUUAAUACGACUACU